rnacentral:rRNA from 1 species
GACGUAGGGCGCAAGCGUUGUCCGGAUUUAUUGGGCGUAAAGAGCUCGUAGGCGGUUCGGUAAGUCGGGUGUGAAACCUCCAGGCUCAACCUGGAGACGCCACCCGAUACUGCUGUGACUAGAGUCCGGUAGGGGAGCGUGGAAUUCCUGGUGUAGCGGUGAAAUGCGCAGAUAUCAGGAGGAACACCAGCGGCGAAGGCGGCGCUCUGGGCCGGAACUGACGCUGAGGAGCGAAAGCGUGGGGAGCAAACAGG